rnacentral:rRNA from 1 species
AGUCGAACGAUGAAGCCCGGCUUGCUGGGUGGAUUAGUGGCGAACGGGUGAGUAACACGUGAGUAACCUGCCCUUAACUCUGGGAUAAGCCUGGGAAACUGGGUCUAAUACCGGAUAGGAGCGCCUACCGCAUGGUGGGUGUUGGAAAGAUUUAUCGGUUUUGGAUGGACUCGCGGCCUAUCAGCUUGUUGGUGAGGUAAUGGCUCACCAAGGCGACGACGGGUAGCCGGCCUGAGAGGGUGACCGGCCACACUGGGACUGAGACACGGCCCAGACUCCUACGGGAGGCAGCAGUGGGGAAUAUUGCACAAUGGGCGCAAGCCUGAUGCAGCGACGCCGCGUGAGGGAUGACGGCCUUCGGGUUGUAAACCUCUUUCAGUAGGGAAGAAGCGAAAGUGACGGUACCUGCAGAAGAAGCACCGGCUAACUACGUGCCAGCAGCCGCGGUAAUACGUAGGGUGCGAGCGUUAUCCGGAAUUAUUGGGCGUAAAGAGCUCGUAGGCGGUUUGUCGCGUCUGUCGUGAAAGUCCGGGGCUUAACCCCGGAUCUGCGGUGGGUACGGGCAGACUAGAGUGCAGUAGGGGAGACUGGAAUUCCUGGUGUAGCGGUGGAAUGCGCAGAUAUCAGGAGGAACACCGAUGGCGAAGGCAGGUCUCUGGGCUGUAACUGACGCUGAGGAGCGAAAGCAUGGGGAGCGAACAGGAUUAGAUAC